rnacentral:rRNA from 1 species
CUACGCACUCCUACGGGAGGCAGCAGUGGGGAAUAUUGCACAAUGGGCGCAAGCCUGAUGCAGCCAUGCCGCGUGUAUGAAGAAGGCCUUCGGGUUGUAAAGUACUUUCAGCAGUGAGGAAGGUGGGUAUGUUAAUAGCAUAUUCAUUUGACGUUAGCUGCAGAAGAAGCACCGGCUAACUCCGUGCCAGCAGCCGCGGUAAUACGGAGGGUGCGAGCGUUAAUCGGAAUUACUGGGCGUAAAGCGCAUGCAGGUGGUUUGUUAAGUCAGAUGUGAAAGCCCGGGGCUCAACCUCGGAAUUGCAUUUGAAACUGGCAAACUAGAGUACUGUAGAGGGGGUAGAAUUUCAGGUGUAGCGGUGAAAUGCGUAGAGAUCUGAAGGAAUACCGGUGGCGAAGGCGGCCCCCUGGACAGAUACUGACACUCAGAUGCGAAAGCGUGGGGAGCAAACAGGAUUAGAUACCCUGGUCG